AUUUAUUGUCAUAUAAACUCUGAACAAUAAGUUUGUGACAAAUAUUAUAAACAUACACAAAAUACAUUUAACAAACGAAACCAUGAAAACAAAAAAAGCAAUUAUCAGAACCCUUCGAUAUCGUUGAAAAUAUGCAGAGACGAUGUGGUCGACAGACUACCGGAGCCAAUUACCCUGCAAACACGCCAAAACAGUAUUGGAAAGUCUCAUUAUUUUUUGCGUUCAUAGACCAUAUGAUAAGGGAACUGGAGAGUGGAGUCGCGUCAAGUAUUACAAGAAAAUCGCUUCAUCGUGCUGUAGAAAAUAUAACAAACGAACAAAUCUCAAUAUUGUCUGAGACAUACGAAACUGACCUGGCAUGUAAUUUUGACGAAUUCAAUUGGGAGGUCGCUCGAUGCCGAACACGUACGCUGGUUAAUAACAUCUCGCGAAUGCUGCCA
rnacentral:lncRNA from 1 species